rnacentral:rRNA from 1 species
UACGUAGGGUGCGAGCGUUAAUCGGAAUUACUGGGCGUAAAGCGUGCGUAGACGGUUAUGUAAGUCAGAUGUGAAAGCCCCGGGCUCAACCUGGGAAUUGCAUUUGAGACUGCAUAGCUAGGAUGCGGAAGAGGGAAGUGGAAUUUCCGGUGUAGCGGUGAAAUGCGUAGAUAUCGGAAGGAACAUCAGUGGCGAAAGCGACUUCCUGGUCCAGCAUCGACGUUCAGGCACGAAAGCGUGGGGAGCAAACAGG